CGGCGAGUGAAGCGGCAACAGCUCAAAUUUGAAAUCUGGAGCCUUCGGCUUCCGAGUUGUAAUUUGAAGAGGAUGUUUCGGUGCGACCUGGGCCUAAGUUCCUUGGAACAGGACGUCAUGGAGGGUGAGAAUCCCGUACAUGGCUGCAGGUUUGCUUCUAUGUGAAACUCCUUCGAAGAGUCGAGUUGUUUGGGAAUGCAGCUCAAAAUGGGUGGUAAAUUUCAUCUAAAGCUAAAUAUUGGCGGGAGACCGAUAGCGCACAAGUAGAGUGAUCGAAAGAUGAAAAGCACUUUGAAAAGAGAGUUAAACAGUACGUGAAAUUGUUGAAAGGGAAGCGCUUGCAAUCAGACUCGCCUUCAGUUGAUCAGCCUUCCUUCUGGUUGGUGCACUCUGCUGUUGGCGGGCCAGCAUCAGUUGGGGCGGUGGGACAAAGGCGGCAGGAAUGUGGCUCGCUUCGGUGAGUGUUAUAGCCUGCUGCGUCAUGCCACCAGCCCCGACUGAGGUCCGCGGUUCGCCUAGGAUGCUGGCUUAAUGGUUGUAAGCGACCCGUCUUGAAACACGGACCAAGGAGUCUAACAUCUAUGCGAGUCUUUGGGUGUCAAACCCAUGGGCGAAAUGAAAGUGAACGGAGGUGGGAGUCUUCGGAUGCACCAUCGACCGAUCCUGAUGUUCUCGGAUGGAUUUGAGUAGGAGCAUAGCUGUUGGGACCCGAAAGAUGGUGAACUAUGCCUGAAUAGGGUGAAGCCAGAGGAAACUCUGGUGGAGGCUUCGCAGCGGUUCUGACGUGCAAAUCGAUCGUCAAAUUUGGGUAUAGGGGCGAAAGACUAAUCGAACUAGUAGCUGGUUCCUGCCGAAGUUUCCCUCAGGAUAGCAGUAACGUUUUCAGUUUUAUGAGGUAAAGCGAAUGAUUAGAGGCCUUGGGGUUGAAACAACCUUAACCUAUUCUCAAACUUUAAAUAUGUAAGAAAUCCUUGUUACUUAGGUGAACGUGGAUAUUUGAAUGUAUCGUUACUAGUGGGCCAUUUUUGGUAAGCAGAACUGGCGAUGCGGGAUGAACCGAACGUGGGGUUAAGGUGCCGGAAUGUACGCUCAUCAGACACCACAAAAGGUGUUGAUUCAUCUAGACAGCAGGACGGUGGCCAUGGAAGUCGGAAUCCGCUAAGGAGUGU
rnacentral:rRNA from 1 species